rnacentral:rRNA from 1 species
UGGGGAAUAUUGCACAAUGGGCGAAAGCCUGAUGCAGCGACGCCGCGUGAGGGAAGAAGGUUUUCGGAUUGUAAACCUCUGUCUUCGGGGACGAUAAUGACGGUACCCGAGGAGGAAGCCACGGCUAACUACGUGCCAGCAGCCGCGGUAAAACGUAGGUGGCAAGCGUUGUCCGGAAUUACUGGGUGUAAAGGGAGCGCAGGCGGGGUGCCAAGUUGGGUGUGAAAACUAUGGGCUUAACCCAUAGAUUGCACUCAAAACUGGCGCUCUUGAGUGAUGGAGAGGCAGGCGGAAUUCCCGGUGUAGCGGUGGAAUGCGUAGAUAUCGGGAGGAACACCAGUGGCGAAGGCGGCCUGCUGGACAUUAACUGACGCUGAGGCUCGAAAGUGUGGGGAGCAAACAGG